GCCUCGUUAGCUCAGUUGGUAGAGCGUUAGACUUUUAAUCUAACGGUCAGGUGUUCGAGUCCCCUACGAGGCU
rnacentral:tRNA from 1 species